AAGUGGGGCAGGGAGCCAGGUUAGCACAGCAAGUAAAAGGCGUGGGCGGGCUGAAGGGACUCCCCUCCAGGAAUCCCUCAUCGAACUCAGCGACAGCAGCCUCAACAAGAUGGCCACCGACAUGUUCCUAGCUGUGCGGGGACCAUGAGGUCAUGCGGGAUGAAUGUUACUGCCAAGUUGUGAAGCAGAUCACAGACAAUACCAGCUCCAAGCAGGACAGCUGCCAGCGAGGCUGGAGGCUGCUGUAUAUCGUGACUGCCUACCACAGCUGCUCUGAGGUCCUCCACCCACACCUCACUCGCUUCCUCCAAGACAUGAGCCGGACCCCAGGCCUGCCCUUUCAGGGGAUCGCCAAGGCCUGUGAGCAGAACCUGCAGAAAACCUUGCGCUUUGGAGGUCGUCUGGAGCUCCCCAGCAGCAUAGAGCUUCGGGCCAUGUUGGCAGGCCGCAGUUCCAAGAGGCAACUCUUUCUUCUUCCUGG
rnacentral:sRNA from 1 species